AGUGAACGCUGGCGGUAGGCCUAACACAUGCAAGUCGAACGGCAGCACAGUAAGAGCUCGCCCUUACGGGUGGCGAGUGGCGGACGGGUGAGGAAUACAUCGGAAUCUACUUUUUCGUGGGGGAUAACGUAGGGAAACUUACGCUAAUACCGCAUACGAUCUACGGGUGAAAGCAGGGGAUCUUCGCACCUUUCGCGAUUGUAUUAGCCGAUGUCGGAUUAGCUAGUUGGCGGGGUAAAGGCCCACCAAGGCGACGAUCCGUAGCUGGUCUGAGAGGAUGAUCAGCCACACUGGAACUGAGACACGGUCCAGACUCCUACGGGAGGCAGCAGUGGGGAAUAUUGGACAAUGGGCGAAAGCCUGAUCCAGCCAUGCCGCGUGAGUGAAGAAGGCCUUCGGGUUGUAAAGCCCUUUUGUUGGGAAAGAAAAGCAGCAGGUUUAUACCCCGCUGUUCUGACGGUACCCAAAGAAUAAGCACCGGCUAACUUCGUG
rnacentral:rRNA from 1 species